rnacentral:misc_RNA from 1 species
GAGCUUGCAUAACUGCCCAGGCUGCGAGAGUUUCAGACAUUCAUAGCCGCCAGUUACCACUGAUAAAAAUGAGGAAUUAUUGCUGCCAAUUGUCAUGUUUUUCAGCUGCCAUACAGCUAUGAUAUUGUCCUAGUACUGGACCUUCAAGCGAAGUCUGAGCAAGAUCAGGCAUACAUAUAGGUUCAUCAACUGAUUUGGCGUCAGAGAAGUAGAUAAUUGCUCUGCUAUAUCAGUUUUGCCUAGAAGGAAGAAAUUGAGUUAUUAGUCUUCUUUUCUGCAACUGCUUCUAUAUGGACAUGUAAACAGGAAGGAUUCUUAUGUAACUUGCUUAUUUGCAGCCGUUGCUUCUCCCUAGUCGGAUUUUUGUAGUACUUUGUAGCAAGGAUAGACAAUGAAAAGAGUCACCUUAUUCAACAUUCCCAAGGUUCCUUCUCUUAAAUAUAAUGGUAGACGCGGUCAAUAUUGUGCUGUUUGACAUGAGUUUUAAAAACCUGAUUUUGGACCGAUUUCAGUUAUACUUAGAUGCAUUCCCUAAUUUGACACAGCCCAGGAUCGAAUUCUGUGUCACUGCAAACUGCGAAUGGAGAAUGAUUGGGUCUAAAAUCAGUACCGACUAAGAUUAUUCUGUAUAUUCAUCUUGCUGAAAAUACGUACAUUCGAGAUGGAAGGCUUAUUAGUAAUUACCACAAGUACUUUACAACAAAGCUCAUAUGGCAAAUUUUAAAAUAUAACGAGGUCAAAGCUUCUAAAUUCUACAGUGCUCCCGGACUGCUGGAGCAUUACACUGAUCCCAAAAUUAUGAUUAGGAUAACCCCAGCAUCGAUUCGAUCUCCAACAGCAUGAAUGACCUGCAACUGAGGUGAAAUAAUAGAGUGAAAAAUAAAAAAAAACUAUAUAAAGGCACUACUCAAGUUCCAUUAAACCUCAAAAUAAAUCACUUCCAAGCAGUCGGUGAUCUGCAUGUUAAAUAACCCACAGCAAUUGCAUAGUAACUAGUGUUGGUCCUCUUCUGCACACGGAAAAAAGGGACAAUGAAAUCUUGAUCCAGGAACUUCGUAAACAAAGCCAGCCAUACAGCACAGUAGCAAAAUUUACCACAUAUAGAAGUGUCCAAGUACGCAGUAAUAAUCCAGGAACUAACACCACAGCUUAAUUUUCUUAAAAACCUCUGAAAAAAUUGAAGAGAGAGAGAAGCUAUCAACACUGGAUUGCCGCUUUCUUACGCUCUAAUAAUGCCAGCCAAACCUUAAAAAGAGAUGAGAGAAAAAAGGGGAUUGCAGAGGGGCAUCCACCUACAAUAAAGUAACAAAAGCACAUUCAGAGCCCUUAAAUAUCAGGCCUUGUACCAUCUUUGCCCAAAUUGGAUUUCAUGGGGACACAGGGACGACUAAUAGCAAGUGCCCUAGCACUGCAACCUGUGUGCCAAUGAUUUCUAGAAAAAAUAAUAGAUAUUCAAUAUUUGAGACCCAGUUAUUAAAAGACAACAACAACAAGGGCAAAAUCGCAAAGUUGCACAUUUAGUAAAUAUCUUAUUCUAUAAAUAACUGUAUCUGAGAGGCAUGUACAAUCUAUUUGCUCGUCAUUAAACAGAGACCCAAAAAAAAGAUGGAUACUUUUGUUAUGAACUAGGGGAUUCCCACUACAUCCAAAGGUUUGUAAUAACCAAUGAUUUAAUCCAAUUUUCAGAUUCAAAUGACUAUCUACUGUACAAUUUACCAGAACCGCACAUACAUCUCUGUCAAGAUGAGAGAGAGAAUGUGCUUGUAAUAACCCUCAUAGAACAAAGAACGUCAAAAACCAGGUCAUACAGCACAAAACUGAGGGUGGUUUAUGAGACCUACAGCUCACCAAUUGCACAAAAUAAUCUUCGGCUGCCAACACAACUUUAUGAGGACAGUUUUCCCAAUGUCCUCAUUUCAGCCUUCUAUGUCAUAGGAACCAAAUGUCAAUUUUUUUAAAUCACCGAACCAUACCAGAAAAUGUUUGUCCCCCAAACAAUAUCAAAGUAAAGGAAACAGUUUUCUCAGCCAAAAAAGGGCUCCACUUCACUACUCCGAGUCUGAGUCUGAGUCAAUAGAAAGAUACAAUCGCUGCCUUACAGAACGUUUUGGGCGAGGAAAUGUGAAAGGGCUAUCAGAUCUUUGCCGACUUGCCUUCUCAGGUCUACCAUCAUUCAUACCAAGAAGCAAAGAAGCAGUGUCAGCCAAAGACUCCAUUGCACCUUCUCUCGAUGGCACCUGCUUUCUCGAAUUCAGUCCAUUUUCAGGAAUUGAAUCACUGUGAUUGCCAGUGGCACCACCACCACCAAGACUAAGAGAGAUCCAAUCCUCUGUAUGGACACCAUUUGACAUAUCAGCUUGAUCCCUCAAAUCAGACUGCCCUGAUGCAUCUGAAGGCCUAGUUGGAAGAAAGAUUUGAAGAGAAGGAUCUUCACCACCAAAUUGCAAGGGGUUAUCAACCAAGCCAUCAUUCAUGUCGGUGUCAGAUCUACCAAUGGAAGAAUCUGGAACUAAACCAGCUGGUCCCAUGACAGUAUUUGGAGCCAAUGCAUAACCAUUCAUUGACAUGGGACAGUUGAUAGGACCAUUAUCCAAAUCAAUGAAGGCACCUGGGACAUCUGAAUUAAGAAAUUGAAACCCUGGGCCACCUUGGCUUCCAGGUGGCAGCCAGUGGGGAAUCCCAAAUUCAUCAUCAUUAGGAUUUAGAACAUCAUUAGGAUUUAGAAAGCCCAAACCAUUCCCAUCUGUAGGAUAUUCAGUAUAGGGAUUUGCAAUUUCAGAAGGGGCCAUUGGAAAAGCAGCCCCAUCAUUGCCAGUUUGAUUAUUCUUAUAAAGAGCUCCAGAUGUCAUCAAUAGAUCAUUAUCAUCAUCUGAAUCACUAAGAACAAUAACCUCUGCAUCCAUUAUUGGUGCAGAAAUGUUUGGGUCAGUAAAUUCAUAUGCUGAAUCUACAUUUAGAGACAAUGAAUCAAGUUCUAUCCCAUUGUUCCUAAAAUCAAAAUUCCCACCACCAUCCUGAUUUACACUUGGAUCUUCACCAUCCCGACCACUGCCUGUGGCACUACUGCUCAUAGGAAUAACUUUCUGUUCAUGGCUUUCAAACUUCUCUUGCAAUUUAUUACCAGAAGAGGAUGUAUUCACAUCCUCUGGUUUGCUCACUUCCCAAAAGCCAUUGCGGUUCUUCCUGAUUCCAAGUUUCAAACCAGUACCAUUAUGACAGUCUGAAGGUCCUUCCUGCCUGAUCAGCUUUUCCAUUUCCACUUUUGCUUUGACCUCUCCCCCAUUAGGUGCACAUGGAGUACCAUCAGGAUAGUGCCACUGUGCAAGUUCACCAACAUCUCUACGCUCAGCUUCAGUUUUGGUUUUUACGCGCCAAGAACCAUCUGGCUUCACCUCAAUCUCUGUUGUAUCUUCACCACAAUGCCACAUCUUAGAAGUGACACGAUUGAAAUAUGGAUCAAUGAUUACAUUCUCCAACGAGUAAUUCUUGAGACAAAUGGGGCACUGCCACUUCCUAGAACGCUGGUUCAUUUCCACAAAAACUUCAAGGUCGAAACAGCCCAUAUGAGCACAAGGUUUAAAUCUUCCAGCAACCUUCAUUCUCGAACCACUCAUAGGACAGCGGAGACUAACAGUAAAAGAAUCUGCAACAACUUCUAGGUCACUGUCACUAUCAGCAUUAUCUGCUGCUCCACCACCAACACAACGACAAACUCGAGCAAGUGCAUCUUCAAAAUGUUCACCAUCAGACUCCUUUGGAAUCAGGUUGAGUAUCUGUUGAACAGUACGUCGCUUUACAAUUCUGACUCCUAAACAGAAGAUUCGAGCAUCACAUCCAGUUAAUGAUAUUUUAUUGAUCCCGUCUUUUGUACAUGGUGUGACAAUUGGACCAUCAUCACGGCCAUUAGCCCCCAAUAAUUGUGAACCAGGUCUAUUAAUAGCUCGAACUGGCAUACCAUUGACCUGCAGAUCUGCAUAUUGUGGCCAUUGCAUCCUAAAAGGAACCUUGUCAUUCAAAAGCAUACACCAAGCCUGAACAUCAUAUUCUUGUUUUGUCAGUAAGUCCUUAUCUGCCCUUGUAAGAUGAAAUGUUUUCUCCACACUCUGCACUGGGCUUGAACCAUCACUCGGGAUAUUUGUAGUAGCCAACUUCACAGGAUACAGAGGAUGAGCAACAGUAACCCAAAAAGGGUCAGCACGGCAGAGUCGACAUAUCUCGCAGUAAAACAAGUCAGGAACUUGAGGAAUGCCCUCCAUGGGUUUUUCAGGAAUUAUAACACAACUAAUGUGUUGCCACACUUGACAUCUGCGAUCCUCACACUUAAUCAUCGACUCCGUCAACAAGGAACUUCCGCAUGGACAACGAACUUUUGUAUCCAAUUGAAAGGACUCAUCCAUUUCUCCUUUAAUUACUGCCUUGCUGCUAUCCAAAACACCCUGUUCCUUUGAUGCUAAAUCAGUGGCCCCAGAAACCUGCAUUUUUCUUAAGAAAAUAACAGAAGGUCCUUGUCAAUGGAGAGGAACACUAAAAUAAAACAAGUUUGUAACCAAACAAGAAAAUUGCAAACAUUGUACUGUGUUAUACACAAAAGACAAACUAAGAAGUUCAUCCAGAAAUGGAGUUGCAAGUCCAGCAUAUAAUGUGGAACCUGUAAAUGUCAUCCACCAGUUUUGCCACCUCUUCCUUUCCAACAGCACUUUUUUUCACUGAAGUCUUUGGAACUUGCUCAUCGGAGAGAACAGCUAAUAUGCGGUCAACAAGGUCCUGCUUCUUCCCUUGCUUUGAAAGACCUAACUGUGUCAAGACAUCCUUGAGCUCUUUUAUCCGAAAAUAUGCCAAUUUGUCCUUACAACUAGCUACCAAAUCCAUCUUUUGACCUCUAUACACUUGAAGCCCAAAUUCAAUACCCAAAUCAAUACUUUAAACCAUCGAUUACUCAAUUAGCCAACCAAACAAGCCCAAUCGGCCCAUGCACAAUCUCAAAACUGCGAUCGAUCUAUUCAGAAAUGUUCCAACAAAAAUCAUCACACUAAUUCCCAAAGAGAAACAAAAUCAUGACCAUAAAAUCACCAAACGCCCAAGCACCACAAGAAGCAUAACCAAUACAAACACUUCCGCGUCGAAUUGAAAGAAUAAAAGAGAUGAAUUGGUUAGGGUUUGCAGAGUUCUAAACGCCGACUUCUCUCGUGUUUUGUUGGUUGUGGUGGUUUCGUUGCUAAAGCCUUUUUUUCCUUUCUCUAUUUUCGCCGAAAGGAAGAAAGCAAAAGUACCUAUCCUGAAACCAUUAAAAGUCCCGGACCUAUCGGCGAUUAUGAAAUCCGGUUAAUGAAACGGGAACACGUCCGGGUUUGGUUUCGGUACAAUUGCGUGUGUGCUUUGUGAUGCACGUCCUUACGUUAUUCUUCUUCGCUCGUCUCGGGGGUUUCUCCAGAGUGUGAUUUCUUUUGUCUGUUGCUGGAACUUUUGAGCGGCUCUUUUUCCGCCACGUCAGC